GAUGGACGCUGGCGGCGUGCCUAAUACAUGCAAGUCGAGCGAACAGACGAGGAGCUUGCUCCUCUGACGUUAGCGGCGGACGGGUGAGUAACACGUGGAUAACCUACCUAUAAGACUGGGAUAACUUCGGGAAACCGGAGCUAAUACCGGAUAAUAUAUUGAACCGCAUGGUUCAAUAGUGAAAGACGGUUUUGCCGUCACUUAUAGAUGGAUCCGCGCCGCAUUAGCUAGUUGGUAAGGUAACGGCUUACCAAGGCAACGAUGCGUAGCCGACCUGAGAGGGUGAUCGGCCACACUGGAACUGAGACACGGUCCAGACUCCUACGGGAGGCAGCAGUAGGGAAUCUUCCGCAAUGGGCGAAAGCCUGACGGAGCAACGCCGCGUGAGUGAUGAAGGUCUUCGGAUCGUAAAACUCUGUUAUUAGGGAAGAACAAAUGUGUAAGUAACUAUGCACGUCUUGACGGUACCUAAUCAGAAAGCCACGGCUAACUACGUG
rnacentral:rRNA from 1 species